rnacentral:tRNA from 1 species
CAAAAAAUAGUUUAUUUAAAACAUUAAUUUUGGGUAUUAAUAAUAUUCUUAUGAAUUUUUUUGA